rnacentral:tRNA from 1 species
GGGUAUAUAGCUCAGCGGUAAAGCGUGUGCUUAGCAUGCAUGAGGUCCUAAGUUCAAUCCCCAGUACCUCCA